UAACGCGUGGGUGACGUACCUAUCGAUGGGGAAUAACUGCCCGAAAGGGUGGCUAAUACCGCAUACGUCCACUGCCUCAGAGUGGUGGGGAAAACCGCAAGGUGUCGAUGGAGCGGCCCGCGUUCGAUUAGCUAGUUGGUGGGGUAACGGCCUACCAAGGCGACGAUCGAUAGCUGGUCUCAGAGGAUGAUCAGCCAGACUGGGACUGAGACACGGCCCAG
rnacentral:rRNA from 1 species